rnacentral:rRNA from 1 species
UACGUAGGGGGCAAGCGUUGUCCGGAAUUAUUGGGCGUAAAGAGCUCGUAGGCGGUCCGUCGCGUCGAAUGUGAAAACCCGGGGCUCAACCCCGGGCUUGCAUUCGAUACGGGCGGACUAGAGUUCGGUAGGGGAGACUGGAAUUCCUGGUGUAGCGGUGAAAUGCGCAGAUAUCAGGAGGAACACCGGUGGCGAAGGCGGGUCUCUGGGCCGAUACUGACGCUGAGGAGCGAAAGCGUGGGGAGCGAACAGG